AUUGAACGCUGGCGGCAGGCUUAACACAUGCAAGUCGAGCGAGCGGCGGACGGGUGAGUAAUGUCUGGGAAACUGCCUGAUGGAGGGGGCUAACUACUGGAAACGGUAGUUAAUCUCGCAUACCAGCAGAUGGGCCCAGAUGUGCUUAGCUUGUAGGUGGGGUAAUGGCUCACCUAGGCGACGAUCCCUAGCUGGUCUGAGAGGAUGACCAGCCACACGGGAACUGAGACACGGUCCAGACUCCUACGGGAGGCAGCAUUGGGGAAUAUUGCACAAUGGGCGCAAGCCUGAUGCAGCCAUGCCGCGUGUGUGAAGAAGGCCUUCGGGUUGUAAAGCACUUUCAGCGAGGAGGCGUUACUCGCAGAAGAAGCACCGGCUAACUCCGUGCCAGCAGCCGCGGUAAUUC
rnacentral:rRNA from 1 species